rnacentral:rRNA from 1 species
ACAUCCUACGGGACGCAGCAGUGAGGAAUAUUGGUCAAUGGCCGGAAGGCUGAACCAGCCAAGCCGCGUGAAGGACGAAGGUGCCAAGCAUUGUAAACUUCUUUUGUCAAGGGACAAAAUCAGGCUCGAGAGCCUGACCGAGGGUACUUGAAGAAAAAGCAUCGGCUAACUCCGUGCCAGCAGACGAGGUAAUACGGAGGAUUCGUGGGUUAUCCGGAUUUAUUGGGUUUAAAGGGU